UACGGAGGAUCCGAGCGUUAUCCGGAUUUAUUGGGUUUAAAGGGUGCGCAGGUUGUUUGAUAAGUCAGUGGUGAAAGUCUGUCGCUUAACGGUAGGAUUGCCAUUGAUACUGUUAGACUUGAAUAUGGAUGAGGUAGGCGGAAUGUGUAGUGUAGCGGUGAAAUGCAUAGAUAUUACACAGAACACCGAUUGCGAAGGCAGCUUACUAAUCCAUCAUUGACGCUGAGGCACGAAAGCGUGGGGAUCAAACAGGACUA
rnacentral:rRNA from 1 species